rnacentral:tmRNA from 1 species
GGGGGCGUCCUGGUUUCGACGGGUAGUCUGCGGUCGGGGUGGCAUGUCGAGGAUGAUUCGUUGGCCUCGUUAAUCUUCGGAUCAAACAAAUAAAAGCAAACUCUUCUGAGCUCGCUCUUGCGGCCUAAGCACCGCAACAUCUUCGAGGCAAUGUCUGGUAGCCUCGACGAUGACACUACCAGGCUGGCUGGCUGAUCGGGCGACCGGGUCGAAAGCGAGAUUCAACAGGACGCUGGGUGAAAGGUAUUCUGCCAGUUGAAGACCUCUCAUCGAGACUAAAUAACCGGAUAAACAUGUAGAAGCUCCAACUUACGGUUAUUCGGACAGGGGUUCGAUUCCCCUCGCCUCCACCA